rnacentral:sRNA from 2 species
UCGAGCGGAACGCCGAACCCUGCCGCCGAUCGAGGUUCCGUACUACUCGCCGGCAGGGGCGGGGGACCCAAAUCGUGGGCACCGGUGACGGUGUCCUUGGGGUGAAGCCGGGCGGACGGUCCUCGGAUCGUGCGCCUGACCGGGUGUUCUCCCACCCGAACCCGACAGCUGACCUCGCAGGCGCACGGAGAGGCACA